CCUCUUUUUAAUAGAUGAAGAAGAGAAAGACAAAGAAAAGUUAAAUGGGCCACACAGCUAAUAAGUUUCUAAAGGUAGACUCUAAACUCAGGCUUUCCUAUGACUUCAAGUUCAACACUAUCUACCCUGCUCGUAGCCUUUAGAAAUCUCUUCAUUGUCAAUAUUUAUUUCUUUAUUUUUCUUGCUUCACUUAUAAGUGAAGGAUUCAUGGGAGGACAAGGGCAAAGAUGGUAGAGGAUGAAAAAGCAAGAAUGAAUGGAAAUUGGCCUUCUGAGAGAGAAUACCAACAUGGAUGAGAUCACAUUGGACUAUCAGCAGACGAGGAAACAGAAGAGCAGAAACAGGUUGUGACCGAGGUCAUGGAGCUCAGGAGGAGCCCUCCUUUCCCUAUCCCUUGACAGAGACCAGCCACAUCACACUGUACUUUGUGAGUAUAAAUACAUUUAUUGGUGUUCCUGAGGAUGGGGAGGCUGUGGGCUAGAGGCUUGUCACAGGAUUUAGGGGCUCUGGAAGCUGCCACCUUCGUGUGUGUGUGUGUGUGUGUGUGUGUGUGUGUAUGUGUGUGUGUGUGUUCAGGUAGCUUAGGGAAAGGGGGCAUUUGUGAGAUGAGCCAUAAAGGCAAGGGGCCCCCAAGUCCAGAGACUGCUGGUUUGGAGAUUGUCCUGGGAUGGUGCCAGGCUCUACUGGGUGUGCCUUGGGCAGUGUCAGGGUCCAAAAGGUAUGCUGUGUUUGGAGAGCGUCCCUGCAGUGAUGCCAGGGUCCAGAAGGUGUGCCCUGGGCAGUGCCAGAGUGAGGAGGGUGAGACUCGGGCCCCAGUCUUCUCAUCGGCCCUGUGCCUGCAGCCGCUGCAUCUGUAAGAUCUGAUUUAGGAUUCGCUGGACAUCUUCAUCCAUCUGACCCUGGGGUGGAGAAGAUGUUACUACUGGGAUAGGGGGCGGGCCAACUCUUCUUCCUCACACACUGGUGAGAGAGGGAAUGAAUGAAACAGCACCAACCUCCAGAUGAAAGGAACAGCCCCACUUCCCCUUUACAAUC